rnacentral:rRNA from 1 species
GACGAACGCUGGCGGCGUGCUUAACACAUGCAAGUCGAACGGAAAGGCCCUGCUUUUGUGGGGUGCUCGAGUGGCGAACGGGGGAGUAACAAGUGAGUAACCUGCCCUUGACUUUGGGAUAACUUCAGGAAACUGGGGCUAAUAACGGAUAGGAGCUCCUGCUGCAUGGUGGGGGGUGGAAAGGUUCGGCGGUUGGGGAUGGACUCGCGGCUUAUCAGCUUGUUGGUGGGGUAGUGGCUUACCAAGGCUUUGACGGGUAGCCGGCCUGAGAGGGUGACCGGCCACAUUGGGACUGAGAUACGGCCCAGACUCCUACGGGAGGCAGCAGUGGGGAAUAUUGCACAAUGGGCGGAAGCCUGAUGCAGCAACGCCGCGUGCGGGAUGACGGCCUUCGGGUUGUAAACCGCUUUCGCCUGUGACGAAGCGUGAGUGACGGUAAUGGGUAAAGAAGCACCGGCUAACUACGUG